ACGUAGGGGGCAAGCGUUGUCCGGAAUGAUUGGGCGUAAAGGGCGCGUAGGCGGCCUGGUAAGUCUGGAGUGAAAGUCCUGCUUUUAAGGUGGGAAUUGCUUUGGAUACUGCUGGGCUUGAGUGCAGGAGAGGUAAGUGGAAUUCCCGGUGUAGCAGUGAAUUGCGUAUAGAUGGCGAGGAGCCGCAGUAGUGAGGGCGACAUACAGGAUUAGAACCCAUUCUUGUGCGUGAGACUGUCGACAGCAUACAG
rnacentral:rRNA from 1 species